rnacentral:rRNA from 1 species
CGGGACGGGUGAGUAAUGUCUGGGAAACUGCCUGAUGGAGGGGGAUAACUACUGGAAACGGUAGCUAAUACCGCAUAACGUCGCAAGACCAAAGAGGGGGACCUCGGGCCUCUUGCCAUCGGAUGUGCCCAGAUGGGAUUAGCUAGUAGGUGGGGUAACGGCUCACCUAGGCGACGAUCCCUAGCUGGUCUGAGAGGAUGGCCAGCCACACUGGAACUGAGACACGGUCCAG